CAACUUUCAGCAAUGGA
rnacentral:rRNA from 3 species